AACGCACAUUGCGCCCAUUAGUAUUCUAGUGGGCAUGCCUGUCCGAGCGUCAUUUCAACCCUCAGGCACCUGUCUGUCUGGCGUUGGGGCGUUCUAUAGCGCUUGCUAUAGGCCUUGAAAAUCAGUGGCAGGCCCCUCGAAGACCCUGAACGCAGUAAUAUUCUCUUCGUUUCCGGCGCUUCGAGGGCUGCUUAGCCGUCAAACCUUCUCAGUUUUCAGAAGUUUGACCUCGGAUCAGGUAGGAUUACCCGCUGAACUUAA
rnacentral:misc_RNA from 1 species